AACGAACGCUGGCGGCAGGCUUUACACAUGCAAGUCGAACGAGAUCUUCGGAUCUAGUGGCAGACGGGUGAGGAACACGUGGGAACAUCCCUUUCAGUUCGGAAUAACGUUGGGAAACUAACGCUAAUACCGGAUACGUCCUUCGGGAGAAAGAUUUAUCGCUGAAAGAUUGGCCCGCGUCUGAUUAGCUAGUUGGUGAGGUAAUGGCUCACCAAGGCUACGAUCAGUAGCUGAUCUGAGAGGAUGAUCAGCCACAUUGGGACUGAGACACGGCCCAAACUCCUACGGGAGGCAGCAGUGGGGAAUAUUGGACAAUGGGCGCAAGCCUGAUCCAGCCAUGCCGCGUGGGUGAUGAAGGCCUUCGGGUUGUAAAGCUCUUUUAUCCGGGAAGAUAAUGACUGUACCGGAAGAAUAAGCCCCGACAAACUUCGUGCCAGCAGCCGCCGUAA
rnacentral:rRNA from 1 species